rnacentral:lncRNA from 1 species
AAGUUGUUGUGAAAAAGGUUGUAGUUAGAGGGAAGGAAGAUUCUGAUAAGGAGAAGAAGAAACUAUUGAUAAGAGGUAGGAAACUGCUAACAAGGUGAAGGAGUUGAUGGUAAGGGGGAGCAAAGAGAUGUGGACACUAAUGAGGAGGAGGUAGGAGGCAACGAUUGCACAGAUAGUGAUGGUAAUGCCUCUAUUUUUCUUAAUGAGUUGAGGAAAUCUGAUGAUGAGUUGGAUGAUGACUAGUUCGAGAAAAAAAUUGAUAAGGAGGAGAAGAAAAGGUAAGAGAGUUGCCUGGUCAAAGAGGUUCGGUCCUUAAAAUAUAGGAUCAUCUGAUUGCUAUUAAUUUGGCGAAAAUCGAUAGCAAGAGGGCUCUGGUGCACCCUCAGGAGCACUAGAAGAGUAGGGGAGGGGCUUGAAUCGAUGGAUAAUGGUGGUGAUGAGAGGAAUUAAGGGAGAAAAAUGGAGGCUAUUUCAUGACUGCAACUAACCCGAAAUCUUCUCGGAGGUCAUGCAGUCAU